ensembl:snoRNA SNORD33 Small nucleolar RNA Z195/SNORD33/SNORD32 family
CCACACAGGACGAAGGGUAGAUAUACUUGUACCAAAUGAAUGUUCAGCAAUCUGAGAUAAUCAACAUGCACUACCACUCAGAGUGUGC